GCGCCCUGGCGCCGCGCUCCUCCUGCGGCGGCGUUGGCGGCGGGCGGGAUGCGCGGCCCGCCCCGCAGCAGCUGUGAAUUCUUGUAGAAGAUUGAUAGCUCUGCCAGCAUUUGUCCACAAUAGAAGAUGGGUGGAUUAAUUUCAAGAUGGAGGCAGGCAAAGCCUUCCACUGUAGAAGUAUUAGAAAAAAUAGAUAAGGAAAUACAGACAUUAGAAGAAUUUAGAGAAAAAAAUCAGAGGCUACAGAAACUAUGGGUUGGAAGGCUUCUUCUCUACUCCUCACUUCUUUACCUUAUUACUUGCUUAAUUGUGUAUUUGUGGUGUCUUCCUGACGAAUGGACAGCAAGGCUGACAAUGACACUUCCAUUUUUUGCAUUUCCAUUGAUAAUAUGGUGUAUAAGAACACUGCUCAUUUUUUUCUUUUCCAAACGGACAGAAAGAAAUAAUGAUGCACUGGAAGAUUUAAAAUCCCAAAAGAAAAAAAUACUUGAGGAAGUAAUGGAAAAGGAAACGUACAAGAAUGCUAAACUAAUCCUUGAAAGGUUUGAUCCAGAAUCAAGUGCAAAGGAGGCUGAACUACCAUCUGCUGGAACAUCUGCAACCCCAAGACCUGGACAAGAAAUUCGUCAGAGGACUGCAGCUCAAAGAAAUGCUUCUACACCUCCACCUGCAACUCCUAAACAAGGCUCUCCAAAGUCCCCUCUUCCAGCACCUCCUAACCUGCAGAGAGAAGGCCCAGCUCCGAGCGGGCUCCCAGAAAGAGCUGCUGUGCCAUCCUUGCAAUCCACUGUUUUACCACGGCGCCCUGGAUCCCCUGCCACUUCAGUGCCUGGAAUGGGUCUUCAUCCUCCAGGACCUCCUUUGGCAAGACCUGUUCUUCCUCGAGAAAGAGGAGUUGUGGAUAGAGUGAUUGAAUAUUUGGUUGGUGAUGGUCCUCAGAACAGGUAUGCCCUUAUAUGUCAGCAAUGUUUUUCUCACAAUGGUAUGGCUUUGAAGGAGGAGUUUGAAUACGUAGCAUUUAGAUGUGCCUACUGCUUCUUCCUGAAUCCUGCAAGAAAAACUAGACCUCAAGCUCCACGACUUCCAGACUUCAGUUUUGAAAAAAGGCAAACUACAGAAUUGCGAUCUGAAACUGAGCCUCUAGAACCUAGAGAGAGAAAGCCCCAGGAGACUCAACAGACAAAAGAAUCUGAAGAUGAUGGAGCCCAGCUCGUUGAGACAAAUGACACAGAUGAUAAAGCACCAAGUUCCGAACAUCUAAAUGAUAAGCUAGCUGAAGAAGUUGAAAAAGAAGAAGCAGAAAACAUUUCAACAACUGAAGAGGCUAUUUCAGAGUCUGCUUCAGCUGAACAAAGUGAAGAAUCUUUAAUAAAAGCAGAAUAAAAUACUUCAAGUGCCUUCUGUAGCUAGUUUUUAGCUUUGUUCAUGCCUGUUGUUACUAUUCAGAGAAGCUGGAUUUGUAGAAAACUCAAGCAACAAAGACCUUCCAGCUCUUCUCAAGUGGUCUGCCCUCUAAUUCCUUGCAUCACUUCAAGGAGUUCUGCUCAGUUGACUCAAAAACAUUUUACAAAACCACCAAGAAAAUUCAUUUUAAGAAAACUGUUUUCAAUGAUGUUUUAAAGAAAUGUGAAAGAUAUUUCUUUAGGAAUGUUUGUACUUGCCUUUUUUGUAUAUUGAGCUUUUUUUUAAACAGGAGUUCCUGAAUAUUUAUAGAUGCUGUUGUUGUAAUAGCCUUGUUGCAUUAGUAAAGGGUAUAUGUGUUUAUGUACUAUAAAUAUUAUCUUUAAUCAGAAAUAUUAUCUUUAAUCAUUCUAAUCCUAGAUGUAGCCUUGACUAUACAUCACCUGCAGUUGAAAUUCCAUUAAAAUCAAUGGCAAAAACAUUAAUUAGUGUGAAUUCUUAGGCUCUAAUAGACUUCCUGAAAUGUCUGUCUUAGCUUUUCUGCUUGUAAUUGAGAAAAUAUUUGAACUUGUGCUCCCCUUUUGAAAUUGAUUAUUAGCAAAUGAAGCAAAUUUUAAAGCAUAUGAAAUUAAAUUGUGUAGCUUGUUAUUUGAAUAUAUACUCUCUUUGCUGUGUAUGUAGUGUUUUGAGGAAAAAACUGAUUAUGAAAAAGCUAUUUGUUUACCUGCGCUUAAUUGAUGAUUUAAGGUGAUAAUUCUGUUUAAUAGUUCCUUCUGUGCUGGCUGUACUUAAUCAACUUGAGUUUUGUAGUUAUUUGGGUGUUUUUGAGGACCCCAUGUGUUACCAAACAAGGAUGAAGGGGCCCCAGCCUCUUUAGUGCAGUCCCUGCCCCCCAGUUGGACUGGCAUAUGUAGGAGAAGAAAGUUGUUCAAGGUUGAGUAGUUUCUGAUAAGACCCAUUUGUCUGUGCUGCAGCCAAUUGUGAGAACUCCUGGCUCAUGGCAUGAGCAGCCAGCUCUCCACCCUCAGAGGUCAGCCUGGCACAGGACUGCAAAAUUUUGUGUGUGCUGAAGGAGAGGCAGGAAUUCAGGAUUGAAAAUAUGUGGUAGCUUCAGAGAGAAUUGUGGAGGUGUGAAGGUGCUGACUUUGGCCCACGAUUCCAUAGACAUUUCAGGGUGGGUAUUGCAGCUUUUAUUGUAUCUAAAUGGUGAUUUAUGUCCUUAUUCCUCCAUUAUUGUCCACAAGGUACUGCCCUGUGUCACAGGCCUGUAUUACCUAAUUUUUUCAGACUGUUUCAUUUUCAUUAGCACAGCUGCUUUAGCUUGUGAUCAGUGUACUGCACCUCAUUGAUAAUCUAAGAGGGUAUUAGAUGCACAGAAGUGACACGUAACCCUGUCAGUCUGGCUUGAUUGACCCCUCAGCUUCCGAAACAUGGCUUCAUUUUUUUUU